rnacentral:lncRNA from 1 species
AGGGAGGAGCUCAGGCUCCGGCGGGUGCCAGGCUGGCAGGGGCGGGUGCAGGGCGGGUGGCCCGGCACUGGGGGUGGCCCCCGUGGAGGCAGAGCCGUGUCACCGAGGCAGAGCCCGGGAGGCGCGUACAAGGAUGGUCCCGCCGCCCCGGCGUCCACCGGAGCACCACGCCGGCAGGAGCACCAGCAAGCACUGGAGCACCACUUCGGAAGGAGCACCACCCCGGAAGGAGGACCACCCCGGAAGGAGGACCACCCCGGAAGGAGCACCGCCCCGGAAGGAGCAUCACCCCGGAAGGAGCACCAGCAAGCACGCAGCAGGUCACCCGGUGCGAGCGAAGGAAACGUGAGUCCUGGCUAACGUCCCCCACGGAGGCGACGUCUGAUGCAGGUGCUUGACCAGCACGUGCGAACUAAGGACACGAAUCAAAGGAGUCCCCGGGGAGGCUCGGGGCGGAACAGCGUCCCCCAGAGCCCCGCGUCGAGCAGGCGUCUCAUCUGUCUUACCAGCGCCUCUGUCAUUCAGGCCCCGGGGCCACAGGGCAGGGAGAGACCCACAUAGAGGCCAGGACCCGCUGCUUGAACUGAUUACACCCAAACCGCUCACUAACAACUGUGAGGACUGUUUGGAUGGCUGUCAGUGUCGGUCUGCCCAUCACACGCGAAAAUCAGGAACAGGCGGUGUGCCCCGAGUGUCUGUCCUGCUGGGGACCUUUGCACUGUGAGCGCCCCCCACAGCCAGGGCAGAGAGAGCUCCCCGUGGACCUCUCCAGCCUCCAGGCCAUGGCCUCUCUCUACGCUCAGCGGCAUCUGCUCUGCCCAACGUGACCUCCUGAGGCCAGCCCAGAGGCCCACUCAGCUGCAGAUGUCCACAGACGGCCAGGGAGAAUGGAAGGCUGGAAGUGCUGGUGGUGAGCACUGUCACGUGGAGGUGACUUGCGUGCCGGGCCUCGUGCAGCACGUGGACGGACGGAGAGUCCUUCCCCCAAAGAGGGCGAGAGUCCUUCCCCCAAAGAGGGGGAAAGCCCAGGAGUGGAAGCUGUUUCUAGGAGUCACGUGGGUGGGCUCCAGAAGGGGCCAUGGUGAUUUUUAAAGCUGGGUCCCACCUCACUCAGUCAGGGUGUCCUGGGGAAGCCUGAAUUCUGAACAAAGCUCAGAGAGUUCACCCCAUCUCGACAGCUGCAUGCUGAAAGGUCAAGGCGUGGAGGCAAGCAUCCACAGCCUUUUGUUUUCAUGUUCCAGGUCCUCCUGACCAAAAGUGUACUAUUUUAAUAAAAGACGGGGGCAUUGAAGGCUGAAGGAGACUAGCCUUAGGGUUCUUAGUUGAGCUAUUCAUUAGAUCACUGGGUCUCAAGUUUUUCUCUUGACUCGGAAUCCAAGCAAAAUUUAAUUUGCAGUGCUUGUCUUAAAGGGACAAAGGUUAAUCAAGGCCAAGAUCUGAUGGGGAUGAAACUGCCCUGUGACUCUGGACUUCAACUUCCCAACAUGCAAAGUGUGGAUGCCGGGCUCGGGGGGAGACACUGACUCCUUCAUCAGGAAGAGGAGAGAUCAGGGGUGCACAGAAGUGGAGCUCCAGGUUUCCCUGUAAGAGGUAUCGACUUCAGCAAAUAUUUACUCGCCGAAACAGAGUUUGCAGAUGACUGUUGACUAAGUGUUUGAAAUCAGUGCGCUGGGUCACAGGAGCAAGAUGGUCACUUUUACUUGUUGGGGUGGACAGCCUAAGCUACUCCAUCUUGUAAAAGAACUCCAUUUUGUAAAAUUCCGGGCAAAAAGACUUAGACUUUGGAUAUUACCCAACCUUGCCCCACUGCCCACAAGCCAAUCGGCCCUCAGGUUAAACCUCCUGACUUUACAUUCAGGAACUUGUGAUUUACCUUCAAAGUAAAAACCAAUCAGGAAUCAACACACAACCCUAUAGAAGAAGGCGACCAAUCAGAUGUCCUUCAGCCUGAAAAUCCCCCUUUACCAGAAUAUUCCCUAUAUAAGCAAUGUAACCCAAAACUCGGGGCUCCUCCCUAUAGCCGCUGUGUCGGUAUCAGUGGGAGCCCCAGCUCGAGCUUGGUAAUAAAAACUCUCUUGCUUUUGCAUAGGAUAUUGGCUCCCUGGUGGUCAUUGGGAGAUUUCGCGACUUGGGCAUAACAGGGGUCCCCUCGCUCGUACCUGGAGAAGUUGGGGGCUUAACAUUUUCAGAGAAAAUCAGAGCCUGGGGCAGGAAUCACACCCAGCACACAGCUGAAGGCUCCGGGCUUGAAUCACUGCAUCAGAGCCC